UAGGGAAUUGUUCGCAAUGGCCGAAAGGCUGACGCAGCGACGCCGCGUGUGGGAGGACGCCUUUCGGGGUGUAAACCACUGUUGCCCGGGACGAACAGCCCUUUUCGAGGGGUCUGACGGUACCGGGUGAGGAAGCACCGGCUAACUCCGUGCCAGCAGCCGCGGUAAUACGGAGGGUGCGAGCGUUGUCCGGAAUCAUUGGGCGUAAAGGGCGCGUAGGUGGCGCGGUAAGCGUGUGGUGAAAGCCUGGGGCUCAACCCCGGGUCGGCCGUGCGAACUGCUGGGCUUGAGCACUGUAGAGGCAGGCGGAAUUCCGGGUGUAGCGGUGGAAUGCGUAGAGAUCCGGAAGAACACCGGUGGCGAAGGCGGCCUGCUGGGCAGUUGCUGACACUGAGGCGCGACAGCGUGGGGAGCAAACAG
rnacentral:rRNA from 1 species